rnacentral:rRNA from 1 species
AUUGACCGCUGGCGGCAGGCCUAACCCAUGCAAGUCGAACGAGUGGCGGACGGGUGAGUAAUGUCUGGGAAACUGCCCGAUGGAGGGUGAUAACUACUGGAAACGGUAGCUAAUACCGCAUACCAUCGGAUGUGCCCAGAUGGGAUUAGCUAGUAGGUGGGGUAACGGCUCACCUAGGCGACGAUCCCUAGCUGGUCUGUGAGGAUGACCAGCCAAACGGGAACUGAGACACGGUCCAGACGCCUACGGGAGGCAGCAGUGGGGAAUAUUGCACAAUGGGCGCAAGCCUGAUGCAGCCAUGCCGCGUGUAUGAAGAAGGCCUUCGGGUUGUAAAGUACUUUCAGCGAGGAGGCGUUACUCGCAGAAGAAGAACAGGCUAACUCCGUGCCAGCAGCCGCGGUAAUAC